CAAGUCGAGUGCGCAGUCUUCUGUAGCAAUACAGGAGAUCGGCGCACGGCGCACGGGUGCGUAACACGUGGGUAACCUGCCCUCCAAAGGGGGAUAACCCGCCGAAAGGCGGGCUAAUACCGCAUGACAUUCCGGUGGCUUCGGCCGCCGGAAUCAAAGCCCGCAAGGGCGUUGGAGGAGGGGCCCGCGGCCGAUUAGCUUGUUGGCGAGGUAACGGCUCACCAAGGCUUUGAUCGGUAGCCGGUCUGAGAGGAUGGCCGGCCACACUGGAACUGAGACACGGUCCAGACUCCUACGGGAGGCAGCAGUGGGGAAUCUUGCGCAAUGGGCGAAAGCCUGACGCAGCGACGCCGCGUGGGGGAUGAAGCUUCUCGGAGUGUAAACCCCUUUCGACCCGGACGAAACGCCCGCAAGGGCUUGACGGUACGGGUAUAAGAAGCCCCGGCUAACUACGUGCCAGCAGCCGCGGUAAGACGUAGGGGGCCAGCGUUGCUCGGAAUUACUGGGCGUAAAGGGUUCGUAGGCGGUGCGGUAAGUCGGAAGUGAAAUCUCUGGGCUUAACCCAGAGGCUGCUUUCGAAACUGCUGUGCUAGAGUGCGGGAGAGGCGAGUGGAAUUACAGGUGUAGCGGUGAAAUGCGUAGAUAUCUGUAGGAACACCCGUGGCGAAGGCGGCUCGCUGGACCGCAACUGACGCUGAGGAACGAAAGCUAGGGGAGCAAACAGGAUUAGAUACCCUGGUAGUCCUAGCCCUAAACCAUCAGGACUUGGGGUGGCCCGCGUUGGCGGGUCGUCCCGGAGCUAACGCGUUAAGUCCUGCGCCUGGGGAGUACGGUCGC
rnacentral:rRNA from 1 species